rnacentral:lncRNA from 1 species
AUGAGCUCUAAGUACCCGCGGUCUGUCCGGCGCUGCCUGCCCCUCUGCGCCCUAACACUGGAAGCAGCUCUCAUUCUCCUCUUCUAUUUUUUUACCCACUAUGACGCUUCCUUAGAGGAUCAAAAGGGGCUCGUGGCAUCCUAUCAAUCGGCCAAGAUCUGACCGUGAUGGCGGCCCUUGGCUUGGGCUUCCUCACCUCAAAUUUCCGGAGACACAGCUGGAGCAGUGUGGCCUUCAACCUCUUCAUGCUGGCGCUUGGUGUGCAGUGGGCAAUCCUGCUGGACGGCUUCCUGAGCCAGUUCCCUCCUGGGAAGGUGGUCAUCACACUGUUCAUAUUCGGCUGGCCACCAUGAGUGCUAUGUCGGUGCUGAUCUCAGCGGGUGCUGUCUUGGGGAAGGUCAACUUGGCGCAGUUGGUGGUGAUGGUGCUGGUGGAGGUGACAGCUUUAGGCACCCUGAGGAUGGUCAUCAGUAAUAUCUUCAACG